GGUUAAGUUACUAAGAGCAUACGGUGGAUGCCUUGGCACUAGAAGGCGAUGAAGGACGUGGCUACCUGCGAUAAGCGCCGGAUAGGUGGAAACAACCUUUGACCCGGCGAUUUCCGAAUGAGGAAACUCUCCCGCGGUAAUACGCGGGAACUCCGCACUGAAUUCAUAGGUGCGGCAGGGCAAACGAGGAGAACUGAAAUAUCUCAGUACCCUCAGGAAGAAAAAGUAAGAACGAUUUCCCAAGUAGCGACGAGCGAACGGGGAAGAGCCUAAACCAUCUGAUACAGUAAAGGACGCAACCGUUGUAUUGGUGGUGUUGUGGGGCGCUUGCAGACCAAAUUGCGUCGAGGUCGGGGAGUAAGAAACCAAAUUGCUAGCUGAAUCUUUUGGAACGAAGAACCAUAGAAGGUGAAAGUCCUGUAUGCGAAAGCAAUUCGGCUCUCUGGCGAGCGUUCCCAAGUACCGCGGAAUAAGUGGAAGUCUGUGGGAAUCUGCGAGAACCAUCUCGUAAGGCUAAAUACUCUCUAGUGACCGAUAGUGAACAAGUACCGUGAGGGAAAGGUGAAAAGCACUCCUAACAGGAGGGUGAAAUAGUACCUGAAAUCGUAUGCUUACAAACGGUAGGAGCAAUCAUAGCAGUGCUUGCAUUGCUAUGAGAGUGACUGCGUGCCUUUUGUUUAAUGAGCCUACGAGUUACUCGUGCGAUGCAAGGUUAAGUCUUUCAAAGAUGUAGCCGUAGCGAAAGCGAGUCUGAAUAGGGCGAUCACAGUAUCGUGCGGUAUACGCGAAACCGGGUGAUCUACCCAUGACCAGGAUGAAGUGAGGGUAAAACCUCAUGAAGGUCCGAACCGGUGAGGGUUGAAAACUUCUCGGAUGAGUUGUGGGUAGGAGUGAAAAGCUAAUCGAACCCGGAGAUAGCUCGUACUCCUCGAAAUAGCUUUAAGGCUAGCCUCAGGUAAGAAUGUCGUGGAGGUAGAGCACUGAUUGGGCUAGGGUCGUCACAACGAUACCAAACUCAGACAAACUCCGAAUUCCAUUGACAUGUUUCCUGGGAGUCAGGCGACGGGGGAUAAGCUUCGACGCCGAGAGGGGAAUAACCCAGACCACCUGCUAAGGUCCCCAAAUCGAAAUUAACAGACUAAGGAUGUUAGGUUGCACAGACAACUAGGAUGUUGGCUUAGAAGCAGCCAUUCAUUUAAAGAGUGCGUAAUAGCUCACUAGUCAAGCGACCCAGCGCCGAUAAUUCUCGGGACUAAAAUUUCGUACCGAAGCAGUGGAUGGCACCUUUGGUGCCGUGGUAGAGGAGCAUUCUAUUCAGCGACUGCGGUGAACGCAGUCCCGCUGCAAAGCGGGAGAAGGUGUGUGGUAAUACAUGCUGGAGCGUAUAGAAACGAAAAUGUAGGCAUAAGUAACGAUAAUGGCGCUGAAAAAGCGCCACACCGAAAAUCUAAGGUUUCCUGAGCAACGUUAAUCGUCUCAGGGUUAGUCGGACCCUAAGCUGAGGCCAAACGGCGUAAGCGAUGGAAAACAGGUUGAAUAUUCCUGUACCUGUCUGUGCUCGUUUGACCGUGAGGGGUGACGCAGAAGUGAAAACCAGCCAUCUGUUGGAUUAGGUGGUCUAAGGUGGUAGGGGUCUCGGGUAGGCAAAUCCGCCCGAGAGCUAUCUCCGAGAGCCGAACGGGAGGGCGCAAGCCCACAAACUGGUUGUAACCAUGCUGCCAAGAAAAACCUCGCAUGGGAGAUCGCAGGCAGUCCGUACCGCAAACCGACACAGGUAGAUGAGGAUAGUUGUCCUAAGGUGCUCGAGUGAGCCAUGGUUAAGGAACUCGGCAAAUUGACCCUGUAACUUUGGGAUAAAGGGUGUCGCGACUGGUUAGAGGAUUUGCUCCUCGAGGCUGGUCACGAUCGCAGUGAAAUGGGCCAAACGACUGUUUAGCAAAAACACAUCACUCUGCUAAGUCGUAAAGACGACGUAUAGGGUGUGACACCUGCCCGGUGCCGGAAGGUUAAGGAGAGAGGUUAUGGCGUCUUUGGCGCCAAAAGCUUUGAACUGAAGCCCCGGUAAACGGCGGCCGUAACUAUAACGGUCCUAAGGUAGCGAAAUUCCUUGUCGGGUAAGUUCCGACCUGCACGAAUGGUGUAACGAUUUGGUCACUGUCUCGACCAUGGGCUCGGUGAACUUGUGGUACCGGUGCAGACGCCGGUUACCCGCAUAUGGACGGAAAGACCCCGUGAAGCUUUACUAUACCCUAACAUUGGAUUUGGGCAAAGCAUGUGUAGCAUAGGUGGGAGACUUUGAAGUCCCGCCGCUAGGCGGGAUGGAGUCGUCAAUGAAAUACCACCCUUGUUCUGUUUGAAUUCUAACCUCCUGCCGUGAAUCCGGCACAGGGACCGUGUUAGGCGGGUAGUUUGACUGGGGCGGUCGCCUCCCAAAUUGUAACGGAGGCUCUCAAAGGUUCCCUCAGCAUGGUUGGUAAUCAUGCGGCGAGUGUAAAGGCAUAAGGGAGCUUAACUGCGAGACCUACAAGUCGAGCAGGUGCGAAAGCAGGACUUAGUGAUCCGAUGGUAGCGCAUGGAAGUGCCAUCGCUCAAAGGAUAAAAGCUACUCCGGGGAUAACAGGCUGAUCUCGCCCAAGAGUUCAUAUCGACGGCGAGGUUUGGCACCUCGAUGUCGGCUCAUCACAUCCCGGGGCUGGAGAAGGUCCCAAGGGUUUGGCUGUUCGCCAAUUAAAGUGGUACGUGAGCUGGGUUCAGAACGUCGUGAGACAGUUCGGUCCCUAUCCUAUGCGGGCGCAGGAUACUUGAGAAGGGUCGUUCCUAGUACGAGAGGACCGGAAUGAACGGACCUACGGUGUACCUGUUGUCACGCCAGUGGCAAACGCAGGGUAGCCACGUCCGGACGGGAUAAGCGCUGAAAGCAUCUAAGUGCGAAACCCACUUCAAGAUGAGGUAUCCCUUGGUCCCGACUUGUCGGGAUCACUAAAGACCCCUAGAAGAUGACUAGGUUGAUAGGCCAUAAAUGUAAGUCCAGUGAUGGAUUCAGUUAAGUGGUACUAAUAGGUCGUGCGACUUAAUCAA
rnacentral:rRNA from 1 species